CCUACGGGAGGCAGCAGUGGGGAAUUUUGGACAAUGGGCGCAAGCCUGAUCCAGCCAUGCCGCGUGUGGGAAGAAGGCCUUCGGGUUGUAAACCACUUUUGUCAGGGAAGAAACGGUCUUUUCUAAUACAGAGGGCUAAUGACGGUACCUGAAGAAUAAGCACCGGCUAACUACGUGCCAGCAGCCGCGGUAAUACGUAGGGUGCAAGCGUUAAUCGGAAUUACUGGGCGUAAAGCGUGCGCAGGCGGCUUUGCAAGACAGAUGUGAAAUCCCCGGGCUCAACCUGGGAACUGCAUUUGUGACUGCAUGGCUAGAGUACGGUAGAGGGGGAUGGAAUUCCGCGUGUAGCAGUGAAAUGCGUAGAUAUGCGGAGGAACACCGAUGGCGAAGGCAAUCCCCUGGACCUGUACUGACGCUCAUGCACGAAAGCGUGGGGAGCAAACAGGAUUAGAUACCCUGGUAGUCCACGCCCUAAACGAUGUCAACUGGUUGUUGGACGGCUUGCUGUUCAGUAACGAAGCUAACGCGUGAAGUUGACCGCCUGGGGAGUACGGCCGCAAGGUUGAAACGUUAAAGGAAUUGACGG
rnacentral:rRNA from 1 species